rfam:Picea glauca, whole genome shotgun sequence.
UUUCUUCCUAGUUCUCUGAAUGUCAAAGUGAAGAAAUUCAACCAUGUGCAGGUAAACGACAGGAGUAACUAUGAGUCUCUUAAGGUAGCCAAAUGCCUCGUCAUCUCAUUAGUGAUGUGCAUGAAUGGAU